rnacentral:rRNA from 1 species
GUAAUACAUCGGAACGUGCCCAGUAGUGGGGGAUAGCCCGGCGAAAGCCGGAUUAAUACCGCAUACGACCUACGGGUGAAAGCGGGGGACCGAAAGGCCUCGCGCUAUUGGAGCGGCCGAUGGCUGAUUAGCUAGUUGGUGGGGUAAAGGCCUACCAAGGCUACGAUCAGUAGCUGGUCUGAGAGGACGACCAGCCGCACUGGGACUGAGACACGGCCCAGACUCCUACGGGAGGCAGCAGUGGGGAAUUUUGGACAAUGGGCGAAAGCCUGAUCCAGCAAUGCCGCGUGUGCGAAGAAGGCCUUCGGGUUGUAAAGCACUUUUGUCGGGAAAGAAAUUGUCUGGGCUAAUACCCCGGGCCGUUGACGGUACCUGAAGAAUAAGCACCGGCUAACUACGUGCCAGCAGCCGCGGUAAUACGUAGGGUGCGAGCGUUAAUCGGAAUUACUGGGCGUAAAGCGUGCGCAGGCGGUUUGUUAAGACAGUUGUGAAAUCCCCGGGCUUAACCUGGGAACUGCAAUUGUGACUGGCAGGCUAGAGUUUGGCAGAGGGGGGUGGAAUUCCUGGUGUAGCAGUGAAAUGCGUAGAUAUCAGGAGGAACACCGAUGGCGAAGGCAGCCCCCUGGGCCAUGACUGACGCUCAUGCA